GACAGAGGGUGCAAACGUUGUUCGGAAUUACUGGGCGUAAAGCGCACGUAGUCGGCUUUGCAAGUCGGGUGUGAAAUCCCCGGGCUCAACCUGGGAACUGCAUCCGAGACUGCAUUGCUAGAGUAUGGGAGAGGGAAGCGGAAUUUCUGGUGUAGCGGUGAAAUGCGUAGAUAUCAGAAGGAACAUCAGUGGCGAAGGCGGCUUCCUGGACCAAUACUGACGAUCAGGUGCGAAAGCGUGGGGAGCAAACAGG
rnacentral:rRNA from 1 species